CCUACGGGAGGCAGCAGUGGGGGAUAUUGCACAAUGGGGGGAACCCUGAUGCAGCGACGCCGCGUGGGUGAAGGAGCGUUUCGGCGCGUAAAGCCCUAUCGGCAGGGAAGAAGGAGGACGGUACCUGACUAAGAAGCCCCGGCUAACUACGUGCCAGCAGCCGCGGUAAUACGUAGGGGGCAAGCGUUAUCCGGAUUUACUGGGUGUAAAGGGAGCGUAGGCGGCAGUGCAAGUCAGAAGUGAAAGCCCAAGGCUCAACCAUGGGACUGCUUUUGAAACUGUACAGCUAGAUUGCAGGAGAGGUAAGUGGAAUUCCUAGUGUAGCGGUGAAAUGCGUAGAUAUUAGGAGGAACACCAGUGGCGAAGGCGGCUUACUGGACUGUAAAUGACGCUGAGGCUCGAAAGCGUGGGGAGCAAACAGGAUUAGAUACCCCAGUAGUC
rnacentral:rRNA from 1 species